CUUACGGUCCCUCUAGGGACCAUAUAUCACAGUCUUGUGAGAUAAA
rfam:Patagioenas fasciata monilis isolate BTP2013 Sc31e1R_262, whole genome shotgun sequence.